UACGUAGGGGGCAAGCGUUGUCCGGAAUUAUUGGGCGUAAAGAGCGUGUAGGCGGCCAGGUAGGUCUGCUGUGAAAACUCGAGGCUCAACCUCGAGACGUCGGCGGAAACCAUCUGGCUAGAGUCCGGAAGAGGAGAGUGGAAUUCCUGGUGUAGCGGUGAAAUGCGCAGAUAUCAGGAAGAACACCCGUGGCGAAGGCGGUCCUCUGGGACGGUACUGACGCUGAGACGCGAAAGCGUGGGGAGCGAACAGG
rnacentral:rRNA from 1 species